GAUGAACGCUGGCGGCGUGCUUAACACAUGCAAGUCGAACGGAAAGGCCCAAGCUUGCUUGGGUACUCGAGUGGCGAACGGGUGAGUAACACGUGGGUGAUCUGCCCUGCACUUCGGGAUAAGCCUGGGAAACUGGGUCUAAUACCGGAUAGGACCACUUCUUGGAUGUUGUGGUGGAAAGUUUUUUCGGUGUGGGAUGAGCUCGCGGCCUAUCAGCUUGUUGGUGGGGUAAUGGCCUACCAAGGCGUCGACGGGUAGCCGGCCUGAGAGGGUGUACGGCCAUGUUGGGGAGGAGAGCGGGCGCAGACCCCGGGGGGGGGGGGAGGGGGGGAAUGGGGACAAAGGGGGGAGGGCCGGGGGCAGAGGGGCGGGGGGGGGGGUGCGGCCCUUGGGGUUGAAAACUCUGUCCGGGGGGGAAAAGGCGUUUGGGGGGGGGCCGGGGAGAAGAAGCCCGGGCUAACGAGGUG
rnacentral:rRNA from 1 species